GACGAACGCUGGCGGCGUGCUUAACACAUGCAAGUCGAACGGUAAGGCCCUUCGGGGUACACGAGUGGCGAACGGGUGAGUAACACGUGGGUGAUCUGCCCUGCACUUCGGGAUAAGCCUGGGAAACUGGGUCUAAUACCGGAUAGGACCACUGCCUGCAUGGGUGGUGGUGGGAAGCUUGUGCGGUGUGGGAUGGGCCCGCGGCCUAUCAGCUUGUUGGUGGGGUGAUGGCCUACCAAGGCGACGACGGGUAGCCGGCCUGAGAGGGUGACCGGCCACACUGGGACUGAGAUACGGCCCAGACUCCUACGGGAGGCAGCAGUGGGGAAUAUUGCACAAUGGGCGCAAGCCUGAUGCAGCGACGCCGCGUGAGGGAUGACGGCCUUCGGGUUGUAAACCUCUUUCAGCACCGACGAAGCGCAAGUGACGGUAGGUGCAGAAGAAGGACCGGCCAACUACGUGCCAGCAGCCGCCGCAG
rnacentral:rRNA from 1 species